GGGUUAGAGAUACAUGGUUGGGAUGUGACAAGACUGGAAUCCAAAUCACUUUCUCUGAUUCAACAUGUUUUGUGUUUUCAUGUCUUUCAUACAGAAUUGGAAAGGAUAUUCCGACAAUAUUUCAGAGAGCCUGAGAAACCUUCAUCCAAUUCAGAGAUUGCAAGGAUAUUCUGAGGAUAUUCAGGAAAUGCUCAGAAGUCGUGUUUCCAUUCAGAGAUUGCAAAGAUAUUCCAAGGAUAUCUGGGAGAGGUUCGGAAACCUUGUUUCCAUUCAGGUUGUUGCUACUGAUGAAGUGUUGGAUUCACUUCGUGAUAGCUUGAUAAUCGCGAUGGCCAUCUUCUGUGUCGUAGCAGUAAUUAAUUUUGAACCAUCACGCUGGUUCAUGAAAAAGAGAAAGAAAACAAAGCUCUGCUUCCACUGUUUAAAAUGUGGCCGGAAACUUCAACAGAAGCAGCAGCUUUUGCUCCAGAAGGUACUGAGAGAACAGGAAGACCAGAGGCUGAGAGAGGUCGAGGAGCAGGGGCUGAGAGAGACCGAGGCACAGCGGUUAAGAGAGGCCAAGGACCAGCGGCUGAGAGAGGCCGAGGAGAUGCAGCUCAGAGAGGCCAAGGAGAUGCGGCUCAGAGAGGCCGAGGAGCAGCGGCUGAGAGAGGCCGAGGAGCUCCGGCUGAGAGAGGCCGAGGUGCAGCGACUGAGAGAGGCCGAGGAGCAGCGGCUCAGAGAGACAGAGGAGCAGCGGCU
rnacentral:lncRNA from 1 species